rnacentral:rRNA from 1 species
UUUUUCAGUAGUUUAAGACAUGCAAAUCGUUGUUCCCAACGUCCUUUUUUUUAAUUAAUAUUUUUAAUAUUAAUGGGAUUAUGGGGAUAAGGUGUAGAGGUGAGUAUGUUAAAUAAGAUACCCUAUAGUCUUCUUAACUAGGAGAUAUAAAUUAAAGGAAAAUUUCUGCUAUAGGAUUCUAUUUAAUUUGAUUAGGUAGUUGAUAGGGUAACGGCCUACCAAGCCAACGAUCGAAAGUCAAGUUUGAAAGAACCUCUGGCCACAUUGGGGAUGAAAUCUCCCAAGUAGUAAACACACUACCAGCAGUCGAGAAUAUUAGUCAAUGCUCGUAAGAGUGAACUAGCUAACUGAAAUCAUUGAAUUUUUUCAAAUUCAGGAUGUCGUAAGGGAAAAUAAUGAUAAUACCUUACUAUGAGUGUCGUCCAAAUCUGGUGCCAGAAGACUCGGUAAGACCAGAGACGCAAACGUUAAUCAUCAUAAACAGGCGUAAAGGGUUUGUAGGCAGCUUUUAUAAGAUUAUGAUUGCAACAAACUAAAGGGUAAUCUAAAUUAAAAGCUAGAAUCAAAAAGAGGUUAUAGUGUAUAACGCCUAGAGGAGGGCUGAUAUCCAUAGAUCCUAGGCAGAAUACUCAGGGCGAAGGCCACUCUCCACUAAUGAUUGACGCUGAGAAACGAAGGUUAGGGUAGGAAAUAGGAU